UUGGAGCCUCACCAUCUUUUUCUAAGCAAAACUGAAUCCAAUUAUCAAGGCCCGAAUCGUAUGCUGAAUAUUCUUGAAUCUUUUGAUUGAAAAAGUUGUAACGUUGAUCGGUAGAACCUAAUUCACCCAAUCCAUCGAACGACAUCAAUGGACUCUUGACAAACGCAUCUAAGGUAGCAAAGUAAUUUAAAUUAGUUUCACUAUUAUCAGCCUUUUUGGAAAUUCCAGAAGAAACAGCAUCCGCUGAAGCACCGGAGUUAAUGCUAGGAGAAGUGGUCGACUGCUGAGUUGAAUUAUUUUCAGCACUUUUAGAAUGAGAAGAUAAACCUGUCGUGCUUGUCUUUAGAGAUAGUGUGUCUCGUUGAUCCUCUUCCUGAACGACUAUUUGCUUGUUGGGUUUUGGAGGUUCUGGCAAGGAUCCACGGCUUAAGGCAGCAACUUCUAACUCAUCUCUAUUUAAUGGUUCAGAGUGAGACUUAUGUGUACUGGAAUUACUGGAUAUUGAAACUGCAUCGUGAGCAGCUACCACUUCGACCUUUGUAGUUGUCGUUUCUUCAAUUGCGGGAGCCUUUGAGUUACUUGACUCAGUGUGAGAAGUAGUCGCUUCAACAAUAGUUGGAAGACUAGUUUUAUAUGGAUAUACGUCUUGUUCUACAGAGGCUAUUGUAUGUUCAUCGUCAGAUGACCCCUUAGUCCAAAAAGGGUCUUCGGUAUUCAACUUGGUAAGAGCUGGAUCGGGCUCCUCCGAAAGAUAACCAUAGAUACUUUCCAAGCUUUCUGAGUUUUUCAAUAGUGCUCCUUCCUCUAGGGAGUUGUUAGAAACCAAAGAAGAGCGUGGAGAUCCAACAACAGAAG